rnacentral:rRNA from 1 species
CCUACGGGUGGCAGCAGUAGGGAAUAUUGCUCAAUGGGCGAAACCCUGAAGCAGCAACGCCGCGUGGAGGAUGAAGGUCUUCGGAUUGUAAACUCCUUUUGUUAGAGAAGAUAAUGACGGUAUCUAACGAAUAAGCACUUGCUAACUCCGUGCCAGCAGCCGCGGUAAUACGGAGGGUGCAAGCGUUACUCGGAAUCACUGGGCGUAAAGAGCGCGUAGGCGGGAUAGCAAGUCAGAUGUGAAAGCCUAUGGCUUAACCAUAGAACUGCAUUUGAAACUGUUAUUCUAGAGUAUGGGAGAGGUAGGUGGAAUUCUUGGUGUAGGGGUAAAAUCCGUAGAGAUCAAGAGGAAUACUCAUUGCGAAGGCGACCUGCUGGAACGUAACUGACGCUGAUGCGCGAAAGCGUGGGGAGCAAACAGGAUUAGAUACCCCUGUAGUC